rnacentral:rRNA from 1 species
GUCCGGAAUUAUUGGGCGUAAAGAGCUCGUAGGCGGCCUGUUGCGUCCGCUGUGAAAUCCCGGGGCUUAACCCCGGGCCUGCAGUGGAUACGGGCAGGCUGGAGGCAGGCAGGGGAGAACGGAAUUCCCGGUGUAGCGGUGAAAUGCGCAGAUAUCAGGAAGAACACCUAUGGCGAAGGCAGCUCUCUGGGACGGUACUGACGCUGAGACGCGAAAGCGUGGGGAGCGAACAGG